rnacentral:rRNA from 1 species
UUAGCAUGGAAUAAUAAAAUAGGACGGAGGUUCUAUUUUGUUGGUUUCUAGAGCCACCGUAAUGAUUAAUAGGGAUAGUCGGGGGCAUCAGUAUUCAAUUGUCAGAGGUGAAAUUCUUGGAUUUAUUGAAGACUAACUACUGCGAAAGCAUUUGCCAAGGAUGUUUUCAUUAAUCAGUGAACGAAAGUUAGGGGAUCGAAGACGAUCAGAUACCGUCGUAGUCUUAACCAUAAACUAUGCCGACUAGGGAUCGGGCGGUGUUCAAUUUAUGACCCGCUCGGCACCUUACGAGAAAUCAAAGUUUUUGGGUUCUGGGGGGAGUAUGGUCGCAAGGCUGAAACUUAAAGGAAUUGACGGAAGGGCACCACCAGAUGUGGAGCCUGCGGCUUAAUUUGACUCAACACGGGGAAACUCACCAGGUCCAGACACAUUAAGGAUUGACAGAUUGAGAGCUCUUUCUUGAUUAUGUGGGUGGUGGUGCACGGCCGUUCUUAGUUGGUGGAGUGAUUUGUCUGCUUAAUUGCGAUAACGAACGAGACCUUAACCUGCUAAAUAGCCAGGCUAGCUUUUGCUGGUCGCCGGCUUCUUAGAGGGACUAUCGGCUCAAGCCGAUGGAAGUUUGAGGCAAUAACAGGUCUGUGAUGCCCUUAGAUGUUCUGGGCCGCACGCGCGCUACACUGACAGAGCCAACGAGUAUAAACCUUAACCGAGAGGUUUGGGUAAUCUUGUUAAACUCUGUCGUGCUGGGGAUAGAGCAUUGCAAU